UGCCAAUGUUGUAAUGGUUGCGGA
rnacentral:siRNA from 1 species